GAGGUAGGAUAUGGGGUCCGCAGGAGAAAUUGCUCCGCGUAGCAUUUCUUUAAGCUUAGCGCACUUAUGGAUCCAAGUUUCUGACACUUGGCUGUAUUGACCUGUGACAAUAAGAGGCAGGAGCCAAUAAUUAGAAGAAAGACUCCCAAUAUCGCGGACUUACACAGAAACAUUCAAGUGUAAAAAACUCAGAUAUUGGAGUGUGGAUUAGAAAAAAUAAUGUAGGAAUUGAGGAAAAUAAGUGAGAAACCCAAUAAUCGAUUAUUGGAUUACAGAAGUUGAAGCAAAAUUCGAAAUCUUAAAGAAUGUUUUUGAAAAUGAUAAAUAAAACUUAAAUAAAAAUAUGAAAAUAGUAUGUAUACAAAGAGAGAGAGAGAGGGAGGGAAAAAAAUAAGUACUAUUCUCUUUUAUCCACGAAUUGUACAUAAAUAAUACUUGAUAAUAUAAUUAAAAAAUUGUAUAGAUAAUAUUUACCAUGGAAAAUUACUCAAUUAAGUAUAAUGAUCUACCUCCAAUAACAUUUAAAUAUUUGAAAAAAAA